UUGUUAGCCCUGCUAAUGGUAUAACUUAGUGGCAGACGGGUUGAGUAAUGUAUAGGGAAUCUACCUAGUAGUACGGAAUAAUUGUUGGAAACGACAACUAAUACCGUAUACGCCCUACGGGGGAAAAAUUUAUUGCUAUUAGAUGAGCCUAUAUUAGAUUAGCUAGUUGGUGGGGUAAUAGCCUACCAAGGUAAUGAUCUAUAGCUGAUCUGAGAGGAUGAUCAGCCACACUGGAACUGAGAUACGGUCCAGACUCCUACGGGAGGCAGCAGUGGGGAAUAUUGGACAAUGGGCGAAAGCCUGAUCCAGCCAUGCCGCAUGAGUGAAGAAGGCCUUUGGGUUGUAAAGCUCUUUUAGUGAGGAAGAUAAUGACGGUACUCACAGAAGAAGUCCUGGCUAACUCCGUGCCAGCAGCCGCGGUAAUACGGAGAGGGCUAGCGUUAUUCGGAAUUAUUGGGCGUAAAGGGCGCGUAGGCUGGUUAAUAAGUUAAAAGUGAAAUCCCGAGGCUUAACCUUGGAAUUGCUUUUAAAACUAUUAAUCUAGAGAUUGAAAGAGGAUAGGGGAAUUCCUGAUGUAGAGGUAAAAUUCGUAAAUAUUAGGAGGAACACCAGUGGCGAAGGCGUCUAUCUGGUUCAAAUCUGACGCUGAAGCGCGAAGGCGUGGGGAGCAAACAGGAUUAGAUACCCUGGUAGUCCACGCUGUAAACGAUGAAUGUUAAAUAUGGGGAGUUUACUUUCUGUAUUACAGCUAACGCGUUAAACAUUCCGCCUGGGGACUACGGUCGCAAGAAUUAAAACUCAAAGGAAUUGACGGGGACCCGCACAAGCGGUGGAGCAUGUGGUUUAAUUCGAUGCAACGCGAAAAACCUUACCUCUUCUUGACUUGAAAAUCAU
rnacentral:rRNA from 1 species